rnacentral:rRNA from 1 species
GGUUAAGCGACUAAGCGUACACGGUGGAUGCCCUGGCAGUCAGAGGCGAUGAAGGACGUGCUAAUCUGCGAAAAGCGCCGGCGAGGUGAUAUGAACCUUUGACCCGGCGAUGUCCGAAUGGGGAAACCCAGUGUGUUCCGACACACUAUCGUUAACUGAAUACAUAGGUUAACGAGGCGAACCGGGGGAACUGAAACAUCUAAGUACCCCGAGGAAAAGAAAUCAACCGAGAUUCCCCCAGUAGCGGCGAGCGAACGGGGAGCAGCCCGGAGUCUGAAUCAGCUUGUGUGUUAGUGGAACGGUCUGGAAAGUCCGACGGUACAGGGUGAUAGUCCCGUACACGAAAAUGCACAGGUUGUGAACUCGAAGAGUAGGGCGGGACACGUGGUAUCCUGUCUGAAUAUGGGGGGACCAUCCUCCAAGGCUAAAUACUCCUGACUGACCGAUAGUGAACCAGUACCGUGAGGGAAAGGCGAAAAGAACCCCGGCGAGGGGAGUGAAAAAGAACCUGAAACCGUGUACGUACAAGCAGUGGGAGCACCUUCGGGUGUGACUGCGUACCUUUUGUAUAAUGGGUCAGCGACUUAUAUUCUGUAGCAAGGUUAACCGUAUAGGGGAGCCGAAGGGAAACCGAGUCUUAACUGGGCGUUAAGUUGCAGGGUAUAGACCCGAAACCCGGUGAUCUAGCCAUGGGCAGGUUGAAGGUUGGGUAACACUAACUGGAGGACCGAACCGACUAAUGUUGAAAAAUUAGCGGAUGACCUGUGGCUGGGGGUGAAAGGCCAAUCAAACCGGGAGAUAGCUGGUUCUCCCCGAAAGCUAUUUAGGUAGCGCCUCGUGAACUCAUCUUCGGGGGUAGAGCACUGUUUCGGCUAGGGGGCCAUCCCGGCUUACCAACCCGAUGCAAACUACGAAUACCGAAGAAUGUUAUCACGGGAGACACACGGCGGGUGCUAACGUCCGUCGUGAAGAGGGAAACAACCCAGACCGCCAGCUAAGGUCCCAAAGUCAUGGUUAAGUGGGAAACGAUGUGGGAAGGCACAGACAGCCAGGAUGUUGGCUUAGAAGCAGCCAUCAUUUAAAGAAAGCGUAAUAGCUCACUGGUCGAGUCGGCCUGCGCGGAAGAUGUAACGGGGCUAAACCAUGCACCGAAGCUGCGGCAGCGACACUAUGUGUUGUUGGGUAGGGGAGCGUUCUGUAAGCCGUUGAAGGUGUGCUGUGAGGCAUGCUGGAGGUAUCAGAAGUGCGAAUGCUGACAUAAGUAACGAUAAAGCGGGUGAAAAGCCCGCUCGCCGGAAGACCAAGGGUUCCUGUCCAACGUUAAUCGGGGCAGGGUGAGUCGACCCCUAAGGCGAGGCCGAAAGGCGUAGUCGAUGGGAAACAGGUUAAUAUUCCUGUACUUGGUGUUACUGCGAAGGGGGGACGGAGAAGGCUAUGUCAGCCGGGCGACGGUUGUCCCGGUUUAAGCAUGUAGGCGGAGGU